rnacentral:rRNA from 1 species
AUUGAACGCUGGCGGCAUGCCUUACACAUGCAAGUCGAACGGCAGCACGGGUGCUUGCACCUGGUGGCGAGUGGCGAACGGGUGAGUAAUACAUCGGAACGUACCUUAUCGUGGGGGAUAACGCAGCGAAAGCUGUGCUAAUACCGCAUACGCCCUGAGGGGGAAAGCGGGGGAUCGCAAGACCUCGCGCGAUUAGAGCGGCCGAUGCCUGAUUAGCUUGUUGGUGGGGUAAAAGCCCACCAAGGCGACGAUCAGUAGCUGGUCUGAGAGGACGAUCAGCCACACUGGGACUAAGACACGGCCCAGACUCCUACGGGAGGCAGCAGUGGGGAAUUUUGGACAAUGGGGGCAACCCUGAUCCAGCAAUGCCGCGUGAGUGAAGAAGGCCUUCGGGUUGUAAAGCUCUUUUGUCAGGGAAGAAACAGCAGCUCUAACACAGUUUGCGAAUGCCGGUACCUGAAGAAUAAGCACCGGCUAACUACGUGCCAGCCGCCGCAGUAA